rnacentral:rRNA from 1 species
CGAAGCAACGCGAAGAACCUUACCAGGUCUUGACAUCCUCUGACAACCCGAGAGAUCCGGGCGUCCCCUUCGGGGGACAGGGUGACAGGUGGUGCAUGGUUGCGUCAGCUCGUGUCGUGAGAUGUUGGGUUAAGUCCCGCAACGAGCGCAACCCUCGACCUUAGUUGCCAGCAUUCAGUUGGGCACUCUAAGGUGACUGCCGGCUAAAAGUCGGAGGAAGGUGGGAUGACGUCAAAUCAUCAUGCCCCUCAUGACCUGGGCUACACACGUGCUACAAUGGGCGGUACAAAGAGAAGCAACCUCGCGAGGGUGAGCAAAUCUCAAAAAGCCGUUCUCAGUUCGGAUUGAAGUCUGCAACUCGACUUCAUGAAGUCGGAAUCGCUAGUAAUCGCGGAUCAGCAUGCCGCGGUGAAUACGUUCCCGGGCCCU